rnacentral:snRNA from 1 species
CUUUCAACAAUAAAGAUUUAAAAAUUAAAAAAAAAAAGAUUAGCUUGGCCCCUGCACAAGGGUGAUGGGCAAAGUCAUAAAGUUUCCCUAGUUUUG